rnacentral:rRNA from 1 species
CCUACGGGAGGCAGCAGUGGGGAAUAUUGCACAAUGGGGGAAACCCUGAUGCAGCGACGCCGCGUGAGUGAAGAAGUAUUUCGGUACGUACAGCUCUAUCAGCAGGGAAGAAAAUGACGGUACCUGACUAAGAAGCCCCGGCUAACUACGUGCCAGCAGCCGCGGUAAUACGUAGGGGGCAAGCGUUAUCCGGAUUUACUGGGUGUAAAGGGAGCGUAGACGGCAGCGCAAGUCUGGAGUGAAAUCCCAUGGCUUAACCAUGGAACUGCUUUGGAAACUGUGCAGCUAGAGUGCAGGAGAGGUAAGCGGAAGUCCGAGUGUAGCGGUGAAAUGCGUAGAUAUUAGGAGGAACACCAGUGGCGAAGGCGGCUUACUGGACUGUAACUGACGUUGAGGCUCGAAAGCGUGGGGAGCAAACAGGAUUAGAUACCCUUGUAGUC